ACGGAGGAUGCGAGCGUUAUCCGGAUUCAUUGGGUUUAAAGGGUUCGUCUUCGGACUAUUAAGUCAGUGGUGAAAUCCUGCAGCUUAACUGCAGAACUGCCAUUGAUCCUGAUAGCCUUGAGGUUGGAUAAGGUAGGCGGAAUGUGUAAUGUAGCGGUGAAAUGCUUAGAUAGUACACAGAACACCAAUUGCGUAGGCAGCGGACUGAGCCGACACUGACGAUGAGGCACGAAAGCGUGGGGAUCGAACAG
rnacentral:rRNA from 1 species